ensembl:lncRNA
UUUAAUCCUGCUUCCAGGUUAUUUCCUCUUCCAUAGGUGUUUUGAGAUGCUUUGAGUUCAGUGUCAGAAGUUUCAGAUGUUAUUCUGUGGAGAGUCAUGUCACAGUUCUUCUCUGUUUCUUUUCCUUGGCAGCUGCUAGUAAAUCUCAGUGUGGUCCAUCCAGUCUUUGGUGAGCACAGGUACACUUUUAUGAAAUUCAUCUUAUUUGCUGCUUGGUGGCAGGACUCAGCACCCUGCUGCAAUGUGAAAAACCAGAUUGGCUUUGCUGCUUUCCCAUGCAAACCCAGAGGAUGUGAGAGUGAGCAGAGCACCAGCAGUCACUUCUCUGCAGCAAGUGCCACUCUGAGCACAAUGAGAGCGUGACAGGGGCUGCUGCAGAGGGCUGGGAAGGUGCAUCCUGUGCACAGCAGCCACUGCUGCUCUGACAGUGCAGGGGUGUCAAAUGCAUUGUGCUGCAGACAGGUGCAGAGAAGUGCUGCCACAUAUUGCAGUCUCUGUGGCUCGUCUCCUUAGUGUGGCUGAUGUUUGUUUAAGUGGCAACUUCUAGCUCUAGAGAUCUGCUUCAUCUGCUCCCUUCACCAGCACACCUGAAUGGUCACCCUUCAGAGUUUUGUGUGCUCAUCUCAGCAUUUUGGCAGAGUGAGCAUGGAUGUGAUUUCAGUGGCAGCUGCCCUGUGUCAGCGUUAUAGAGAUAACCAUGAGCAAGGUUACUCCAGGGUGGAAGGCCUUAGAACCACUGCAUGUGAACAAACUGCUGCCUGGGGAGGAAGGACCCUUGGCUGUAUUCAAUGUUUGCUCUGGGUUCAGCUUGCUUCAGAGGUCUUUAGAAGUAGUUUCACACUUCAUCCUUUCUUUUUUGACAGCUGGGAUGUUCUGAAAUCAUCCUGUCCAUGGCAGGGAUUCUCAGGUCCUGAGCUGAAAUUUGCAACAUGGCAAAGAAGAGUUUGCCAUCCAAAUAUCCAGUGGCAACAGGUGUGGUGAGAAACCGAGGCACAGAAAAGAAUAGCCAAGGCAGAGUCACAGCAAGAGCUCAAAUGCUCUUAGUGGCAGUUCUGGCAAACCCAGCUAUAGCAGUACUUCUUCUUCCUUUUACUGGUAUUUUAAAUAGUGUCCAUCCCAGCUGUUCCUUGGAAGGAUGAUGGUGCCUCGAGAGCAGAAAGCAGUGAUUGUUAUUCCUUGAUGGACAGUGUUACCAGGAAAUGUUUGAUUUUGAGAGCCAUGGUGUUGGGAUGUGACAGGAGAGUAAUUUUCACAGUGUGUAACUGGCACAGCCGUUGCUAAAUGCUGCAUGACCUGGAGGCACACAAAUAGCAGAUUGUUUGGAGGAAGGGAGAGGUGAAGAAACAUUACAUGAAGCUUAUCUAGGGAAGACGAGAUUCUUGGGAAGAGAUGUGUUAAAAUGAAGCUGAGGUUUUAGGAGGGAAGGCCUGUGCUGCCACAUUCCUGCUUUUCCUACUUAGGAUUCCCGAAAUCCUAAGUAGAAGUGUGGGACUGAGUCUCUAUAAGGUGCAAGUUGUAUAUAAGAGGCAAACUGAGCAUUUCUGCUCAAUGCCUGCACUUCAGCAGGUGUGUGCAGCCCCUUCUGCAGUGUGAUGGAUUCCUGGUGGGCCACAGGUGAUGGCAAGCAACACUGGACAGGGCACAGAACUCUUGUUCAUCAGGAGCAGAGCACUCUGACUGUCACAAAGAUGCCACUGGCCUGAGUUUCUAUAAGCACAGUUUCUUUGGAAGUUGCCAGGCUGGGUGUAAUUUAUAGGGGAGGCAGAACUUCUCUUCUCAAGGCAUGUCCUCAGCAGUGGGUGAUUUUUGAUUCCCACUUUACGUCAUCUGCUGCCUAGAGUUUUAGCUCCCCACCUGCUUCUUCUUCCUUUCUGGGUGGUCAGCUUGUCUCCCAUGUUUUGUAUAUGCACAGCAGCGUGCUCACAGUGGGACAUGUCCAUCAGCUUGGUAGCACAGUGCCUGUGGCUAUGGAGUCCUUACCUUGGCAGCCUGAGCUGCUGCAGGAGCUGCAGUACCCAGUAGUGCUGGUGGGAGAGUGGCUUCUGCCAUCCUCUCUGUUCUUACUGGAAUACUCAUGUGAGACUGUGUGGAAUGUGAACAUAGCUGCUUGGGUUGUUGAAAAAGGCUUGAAUUAUUAUAAAAUUCCUGGCCUGACAUUUGGCUGAUGAUUAAUUACCCAGGUUUGCGUAGUACUGUGGUGUUCCAGAUGUAAACCCAGAACAAGCUGUUACAACUGUGUUGACCUCAGUGGAGUCAUCGAAGUCAUUCCAGUUGGCACACCUGGUGAUGUGUGGUAUUUGUAUUCUGUGAAACCAGCAUCCAGUCAUUGAUUUAAGUCUUUCCAGGGACUGGAGGCUCUUAAGCUGUUAAUCUUUUUUCCUCUCCUGUAUUGAUUGCUGUGCCACUUACUAAGAGUGACCUUCUCACCACACCUUUUGACUUUGAGCUUGCUGCCUCUGUGGAACCCUUCUCUGAGCCUUUGCAGUUUGUGGUGUUUGUAUUGCCACAGUGCUUAGAAACUCCUCACAGGUUGCUCCAUUUCUCUCUUAAGUUUUCCCUUCUCCACUCCCCCACCAGUAUCUUCUGUAACUCUCCCCCAGCCAAUGCUGUUGGCUUGCAUAGAUAAAUGUCUUGAUGCUGGAUAAUUUGGAGUAACCUUGGCACAGAAAAAUCCCCCUCUAAAAUGCAGUUGAAUCUCGCAUUGUCCUUCAGCAAUUUUGCAGCUGGUGAAGUUUCUGGGUGGAGUCCUGGUGCUGGCAUGUGCUCUGCCUGAAAAAAGCAAAUUUCAUACUUCAUUCAAACAAGGCUUCUUCAUUUAAUGUGGAUGGGCAGCAGGCACUCAGGCUGAAAGUAGAUUUUAUACUUUAACUUCCAGGUCAGUGGGUUUUUGUCUUGUUUGUGUCAGCAGAGAGUAGCCCUUUUUUCAGCAGCACAACUUUUUCCACCUCAGCAACGCACACACACACACAUGUGAUACAGGUCCUGAGUUGUGCAAUAAACUCCAGCAAAUAUAUUGUUUGCUCCACUUCAGGGCUUGGUUGUGUGCCCUAUUGACCAGCAAUAAAGCCAACAGUAUAGAGGUAGUUAUUUACUCAUUUACUUUGGCUUUUCCAUCCAUGGUUGUUGUCUAUGUGGGGAAAAAAAAACCCCAUAAGUCCUAUGAGAAGGAAAAUUUUGUCUGUAGAGAGGUGGUCUUGGAAACUUGUGAAAGCUGGAUAACUUAUUAGCAUUAGUCAAGUAUUAAGUUAAAUAUUUAAUUUAGUAAUUAUGUAAUUUUGUUGCUGAGGAGGGACAGGGCUAUGGUCAGGGUAGUCAUGAGCACAAAAAUUAAAAGAUGAAGGUGUCUAGAAUAAUGUCCUGUAGUGUGCUGGGGUCCUGACUACAAAACAACUGCUUGGAAUCCCAUUUUAGCAGGGAUUGGUGCUUGCUGGCACCUUCCUCUGCAGAGUCUGGAAAGGCAGGAGGGGAGGCCUCAUCCCUCACUCAUGCUGGGCCUUUUCCUGAGCCCCUCUGGAAGCUGUGGACACUUGCCAGUAGAGCCAUGAGCAUUCCCAUGUGGAUGGGGUCAUACAUCCCACACCGGGCACGACACUUCUCCCUGUCCAGGUCUGGCCUGCUGCUCCGUGCAGCUGGAGGGCAGAGGGGUGAAGGAACCCCUGUUCUCCAUCCUUCUCCAGUCUGGCAGUGCCUCACUGCUCCAGCGAGGCUCUGCUCAGCCUGGGGCCAGCUGUGCCUGCCCUGCCGUAACCUCCCUAUUUGUGCUGUGGAUCCCUGCAGAAUUCCCUCCGUCCAGAUCCUCUUGGACUUUGUUCCCAGCAGAAAAUCCUGCUCAGGCUUCUUGGAAUUAAGGCACAUGAGUCUAACUAACUCAGAAUUGCUGUUUCCUGAGAAGUUCUGACACUGUAAAGAUUGUUUGGCUUUUUUUUUUUUUUCUUUUCCCUGUAAUCUGAAUGAAAUAAUGUUUAAAAUUUCCUAUGAGGACACUGUGUCCCAGAUUUUGAGUUUCAGAAGUGUUUUGCUCUGGGAUUUCUGAAUGCUUGUUUUAGUUAUAUCCAUUUUAAGUCAUGGUACUGCUUAUGCUUCCUGUUGAUUUGCUAAGUAAAGCCUAGUAGCAGGUCACAGUACAUGUAUUAUAUUAAAAAAUGGUAGUUACUUUUUAAAAUCAAUAACAACAGCAGCUGCUUAAUAUGAUUGAAACAUUUUAUUCCCUAGAACAAGAACUGCCUUGUUUGCAAUGUAAUGAGAAUCUGGCACUGCCGUUAAAACACCCAGAAAUGGUUUAAUCUAGAACACUGGGUAAUGUUUUAUA